ACGCUCGACACCUACGGGAGGCAGCAGUGGGGAAUAUUGGGCAAUGGGCGGCAAGCCUGACCCAGCAACGCCGCGUGAAGGAUGAAGGCUUUCGGGUUGUAAACUUCUUUUAUUCGGGACGAAGAAAAUGACGGUACCGAAUGAAUAAGCCACGGCUAACUACGUGCCAACAGCCGCGGUAAUCUGAGCGGGCUGGCAAGGC
rnacentral:rRNA from 1 species